AUGCAGAGCAUCCGGACGGAGCCGGAGAGAAAACCAACGCAGCACGCCGGCCAUAGCAGUCACAGCCACCAACCCUCCAGGCCGGCAGUGUCCUCCCCAUUUCGUUGCUGCUGCUUCCGCCGGGAUCUGCUCAUGGAGGCGGUGGAAGACACCACAACCCUGGAGGCCGCGAUCGGUUGGCUCUCCGAUACCAUCCUUGCAAAUCUCCCAGCCGGCGGCAAGCUGGUUUCCUGGAUUCGCCAAGCUGGCCUUGGCAACGACGUCGAGAAGCUCAAGUCCGAGGUCGAGGCUGUGGAGAUGGUGGUCUCUGCUGUGCAGGGGAGGGCGGCCGGAAACAAGCCGCUGGCCAAAUCCCUCGCUCGGGUCAAGGAGCUGCUCUACGACGCCGACGAUGUGGUCGACGAGCUCGAUUGCUACAGGCUCCAGCAGGAGCUCCAACCAGAGACACUGCUGGAAAUGGAUGGACAUGGGAUGCAGCAAGUUGACAGAUCUAGUGAAAGUGAAACUAUCGAUGUACAGGGUAGCGGUAAUAGCAGGUUACGGUUCGAGGGAUGGAUUCACUUUGAAAUCACCGAGUUUGAACAAAACGGAGGGCCUGUCAAAGCAAUGUGUAAGCACUGUCAAACAGUGCUCAAGUGCAAAACCAAUAAGGGGACAUCAGUUCUGCACAAUCAUCUCAAGAGCAAAGGUUGUGCCAAGAAACGUGGAGCCAGUGACCCUUCUUCAAGCACCGCCGAUGCUAUUACAAUUCCUACCCCUGUUGUAACUGUCAGCAGAAAAAGGACGAGAACCAGUCAGGAGUCAACACACAUCACUGCAGCUAACCCAAACGGGUGGAACAAGGACGCAUUUUCUGAAAGGAUACAAGACAUCAUUAGUCAACUGCAAGGGAAACACGGGGCUAUCACAAGGCUUCUCCAAAUACUUCCGUCCGACUAUGUUGGUGCAAGGUCAAGCCACUGUCAGAGUAGAAUCUUGGAUCCAUGCCGAAGAACAUCAUGUGUUUUUCAAGGGAAAGUGUAUGGGAGAGCUGCAGAGAAGAGAUCCAUCAAAAAGUUGAUACAAGAACACAAACCAACUGCCAGUGUUACUGUUCUGCCUAUUGUAGGAAUCGGAGGAGUUGGGAAGACAGCUCUCGCUCAGCUUGUAUACAAUGAUCCAGCUUUGGAAAGUCAAUUUGAUCGCAAGAUAUGGAUCUGGGUGUCUAACAACUUUGAUGAAAUGAGACUCACACGAGAGAUGUUAACUUGCAUCUCCCCAGAAACACAUGAUGGCAUAUGCAACUUUAUCAAGCUUCAGGAGGUCUUGAAGGGUCAUAUUAAAACAAAGAGGGUUCUACUCAUUUUAGAUGAUGUCUGGGAAGUCAUGGAUGACUGCGUGUGGAACAAAUUAUUGGCUCCUUUCAAGUCUGACAAUGCAAAGGGCAACAUGAUAAUCAUGACAACUAGAAAACCAUCUGUUGCAAACAGUAGAGGUACAACUGGACCAAUUAACUUAGGUGCUUUGGGAAAGGACCAUUUUUGGCAAUUGUUUAAAUCAUGCACGUUUGGUGACGAGAGUUAUGAAGCGCAAGCAAGUCUAAGUGACUUAGGACAGGAAAUAGCACAAAAGUUAAAAGGGAACCCAUUAGCAGCGCAAACUGUCGGGCCUCUAUUAAGAGAUCAUCUUACUGUGGAUCAUUGGAGUAACACUCUGAAGACCGAAGCUUGGAAUUCCCUACAACACACUGGUGGCAUCAUGUCUGCUUUGAAGCUUUCCUAUGAUGAGCUGCCCUACCCUGUGCAGCAAUGCUGCUCAUAUUGUUCUAUAUUCCCCUACGGUUAUGAAUUUAUUGCCGAGGAACUAGUUCGUCUUUGGAUUUCACAGGGAUUUGUGAAGCGUGAUCAUCCAAAUAUGAGUUUGGAGGAGACGGGACGAUACUAUCUGACUGACUUGGUGAACCUGGGCUUGUUUGAAAGGAAAGGAUCCUCUCUUGGUAGUCAAACUCAAACUUGCUAUGCUAUGUCUGGCCUGAUGCACGAUUUUGCGAGGCUAGUUUCAAGAACUGAGUGUGCAACUUUGGAUGGUUUGCAGUGCAAUGAAAUGUUGCCAAAUGUACACCACUUGUCCAUAGUAACCAGCUUUGUGUAUCAGAGGCAGGAUUGGACUGGGAAUAUACUUCGUAGUGAGAAGUUUGAAUUUUUGUUGCAAAAUAUAGUUGCAUCAGUGAGUAAGUUGAGGACAUUGGUGUUAAUUGGGGAGUAUGACUCCUUUUUCUUCAAAGCAUUCCAAGAUGUAUUUGAAAAAGCACAUAAUCUGCGUAUGUUGCAAAUGUCUGCAACAUCUGCUGAUUUUAAUUCCUUCAUGUGUAGCUUGGUAAAUCCUACACGUCUUCGGUAUCUAAAACUUGCGGAUGGUCAUGAUGAGCAGAAGGCUAUGCCUCGUGUUUUGAGCAAGUUUUUCCAUCUUCAGGUGUUGGAUGUUACUUUCUUUAUGUCACUGCAUACAGUUCAUCUAGAGGGUUGCGGAGAACGGAUAGUACUUUCAACUCUGGAAAUGCUUCGAUUUCUUAAAAGGUUGAAGUUGAGAAACAUGCGGAGUGUAACAAAAGUAUCGGUUCCGUCAUUGGAGGAGCUGGUUUUAUAUGAAAUGCCAGAUUUACAGAGAUGUUCUUGUACUUCCAUGGGUGAUAUGAAAUCUAGUUUAAGGGUGUUGGAGAUCCAGAGUUGCCCUGCACUUGAGGUGUUUGAUUUGUUUCGGAAAGGUCAUAACUAUGAACUGGAGCAUAAGCCAUGGUUGCCCAGUCUGAGGAAACUCAUAAUGUGCAAUUGUCCUUUAUUGCAAGUACAAAUCCCGCUUCCGCCUUCAGCUAUAUUAUCUGAACUAUUAAUCAGGGGAGUUUCAACAAUUAUGAAAAUGUGGGGAUCUUCCAUGGGAACAUUCAAAAUUGAGUGUGAGCUGCCUUUUGCUGAGAUGAUGCCACUUGAUGACAGAAUUUUGGCGUUCCAUAAUCUUAAGGAUAUCAAAUACUUGGAGAUAUCAUGUUGCGCAAACAUAACAUCCAUUUCAUUCAAAGGAUUAGGUCAGCUCAACUCUUUAAAGAGUUUGAAAAUAUUGUUAUGCAAAGAACUUUUCUCUUCAGAUGAUGUGCCAGAGCAGACCCUAGAAGACAUAAUAACUGCAAAUAAUGCUGCUCUCCUGGCUCUUGAAAGUCUUGAUAUUAGAGGGUGUGGAAUAAGGGGGACGUGGCUAUCUCUAAUGCUGCGACAUUCGCCAACCCUGAAGGAGUUGAAUUUAGAUAUGUGCCCGCGGUUGAAACAAUUGAAAGUAGAAGAGGUUUCGUCAUCAUGGUAUCUAUAUGAUGCAUUUCGAAGCUCAGUUCGAGCGUCAUCAGUAUAUGUUGAUGAUGCGUGGCCAGGCUUAGCUGUAGACGGAGUCGUGCACAUUCCAUGGAAUCUUAGAAAGAUAACAAUCGGUGGAUGCCCUGAAUUAAUGUUUGAUGGGAGUAGGGAAGGCUUUGCUGGAUUUAUCUCCUUUGAGGAGGUAGAGGAAGACGACGAAGAGAAGGGAAGAUGUCUCCUCCCGCAAUCACUUGAACAACUUGUUUGGUCUGAUUAUUCCCGGAAAACUCUGCGGCCCUGCUUUGUGGGUAAUGUCACGUGCCUCAAAAAACUGCAUGUAGAUAGCAUAAGGUUGGAAUGUCUACAGCUGGAUUCUUUUACGGCACUGGAAGAUUUGAAAAUUGAAUGUUGUGAUCGGUUCGUCUCAUUAGAGGGCAUGAAAUCGGUUGGAACCCUCAGGUCUUUGGCAUUAGUUCAAAACCCAAGAUUGGAAUCUCUACAGUUAAAUUCCUGCACAUCGUUGGAACGUUUUGAAGUUCAUGAUUGCAGUUCGCUCAUCGCAUUAGAGGGCUUGAGGUCCCUCGUGAACCUCAAGCAUUUUGAAAUAUUCGGGUCCCCUGCCUUGGAUUCCUUUACCUAUGAGCCAAUUGAGGGAAUUUCGAGUCAUAGCUAUGAGUUAUUCCCCUCACUGGAAAGUUUAAAGACUGAUGACUUGUGUCAUCUUAAGACGUUAUUCCACAAGGGCCUCACCUGCCUCCGAAGCCUAACACUUUUUUAUUCGGAUGCAACGAGACUAACAGAUGAGCAAGAGAGAGUGCUUCUGCUCCUCGGGUCCUUGCAAAAGCUCUCCUUUGACAAUUGCGAGCAUCUCGUGCAUCUUCCCCCAGGGCUGCACGGCCUCCCUUCCCUCAAGACGUUGAAGAUCAUAGAUUGUGAGGGCAUCUCAGAGCUUCCGAUAGAGGGCCUCCCACCUUCGCUGGAAGAACUGGAAAUCCUCUGUUGCAGUGCCGAGUUAUCAAAACAAUGCAGAUUGCUAGCAACAAGCAAGCUAGAGGUCGAAAUUGAUGGGUGCUAUCUGGACUGA
rnacentral:rRNA from 1 species